UACAGAGGUCCCAAGCGUUGUUCGGAUUCACUGGGCGUAAAGGGUGCGUAGGUGGCGGGGUAAGUUUGAUGUGAAAUCUCCGGGCUUAACCCGGAAACUGCAUUGAAUACUAUUCUGCUCGAGGUUUGGAGGGGGGACUGGAAUUCGUCGGUGUAGCAGUGAAAUGCGUAGAUAUCGAGAGGAACACCAGUGGCGAAGGCGAGUCCCUGGACAACACCUGACACUGAGGCACGAAAGCUAGGGGAGCAAACAGG
rnacentral:rRNA from 1 species